rnacentral:rRNA from 1 species
UACAGAGGAGCCAAGCGUUGUCCGGAUUGACUGGGCGUAAAGCGCACGCAGGCGGCUGCGCGCGUGGGGUGUGAAAUCUGGCCGCUUAACGGCCAGGCGCCAUCCCAUACGGCGCGGCUUGAGCCUUGCAGAGGCGGUGGAAUUGCCGGUGUAGUGGUGAAAUGCGUAGAGAUCGGCAGGAACACCCAGGGGGAAACCAGCCGCCUGGGCAAGCGCUGACGCUGAGGUGCGAGAGCGUGGGGAGCGAACCGG